rnacentral:rRNA from 1 species
CCCUUAGAUGUCCGGGGCUGCACGCGCGCUACACUGAAGGAAUCAGCGUGCUAAAACCAUUGUCGAAAGGCAUUGGUAAACCCAUUAAAAUCCUACGUGAUUGGGAUCGGGAAUUGCAAUUAUUUCCCUUGAACGAGGAAUUCCCAGUAAGUGUGGGUCAUAAGCUCGCGUUGAUUGCGUCCCUGCCCUUUGUACACACCGCCCGUCGCUGCCCGGGACUGAGCCGUUUCGAGAAAAGCGGGGACUGCUGCUGUCGGGGCUUUCGGGCCUUGGCUUCGGUGGAAACCGCUUUAAUCGCAGUGGCUUGAACCGGGCAAAANUCGUAACA